rnacentral:lncRNA from 1 species
CGCAGCGACGCUAGUGCGCAGAGUGGCGUCGUCUGAACGGGUCGGGGUGGCUGUGGCACCAGCCGAGGGGAGAGGAAAGGAGGAGAUAGGGAGAGUAGGAGAGAGACAUGGCCUCACCACAGAUACUGGCGACGUUUGUGAUUGUGGUGGUGGUGACAUUGGUGCAUCAGACUGACGGGCAAAGACGGAUUAUAUCAUUUACUGGUCGGGCCGGACAACCAUGUGUGACAUCUAGCGGCUUCCUCGGAAGCUGCGUUUCGGCGAGCAGCUGCCGUAUAGAUGGCGCCACCUCUGACGGCUGCCCGCGCUCUACAGUCUGCUGUCUUCGUGUAAGCAGUACCUCCAACGCGAGGACACCACGACCGACAGCUCAGCCGGUCGUGAUCCGUCCGCCGCCGGUCCAGCGCCCCCUCUGCACCUAUCGAGUGCCCGUGACGCCAUCGGCUUAUAGCGUGGGACUGCUGGCCAGGGCUGGACGGACACGGCGAAGCCCUCAGCUGUCGAGCGCGCUGAGUCGUCGCCUACGGCAGCAGGCCAAGCUCCGUCGCAAAACCACUCAGAAACAACCGAAAAGGCAGACGAACAAACCCAAUCCCCUGCCACAUCUGCAUCAUAGUCGAAAACCUACACCCAAGCUUCUUAAAACGCGGCCGAAAAAAGUCCGUCCCGACUUUCCGUUCCGGCUUCCUUUCACACAUUCAGUAGCACAGUUACCUACGAGCGUGUUACCAAGUAAACCAAGCGCUAUCGACACAAUCAUCUUUAUGCAGCCUGAUGCUUUUGUCGGUGGAACUAAUGUAAGGGACGGGGGGAGUCAGGGCGUUGGCCUCAUCGGUUCUGGACUUGCACACUUACAAGUUGACGUGAACGAAGUUCUUCUUGAGAUCAAGAAGAAACAAAAACGUCCCGUGGCUCCUCCAAGGCAGCCUGUAGCUACCAACCGACCCGUGAUUACAGACCAACGCAUUGUGUUCCCCAGCCGACCCCCGCCAGUCCAGUACCGGACCUACAUAGCUCCCUGCUAACUGAGCAAGGUGGUAGUGUAUCCUGGGAUGGUAGCGCCGCGUUCACUUAUUGUCCGCAAUAUACCUAUUACCUACAUACGACUCAUGCUUAUGCACAUCGUGAUGUACCACGAUGUCACGACUAUACAUAGCACUGUGUGCUCGGCUAGAUCUUAACUACGCGUAACAGUACACCAACUGAGAAACUCGUUUAAAAUUCAGCUAGGUACGCUUUUUGAGUUGUGUGCAACUCGACUCAUUCAUGUUAUGGAGGUCGUGACGGACUCGGUCUGUGAAUAGGUACGUACGAUCGGCGUAAGGUAGUGUGUUUGUCUGUGUGACUGUAGAUUGUAGAACAAUGCGCAUCUUGCUUUUGUUGUAUAUCGCAUGUAUCAUGGUGGGAUAAUUAAAGAGUGUUGGAUACAAUUUAGCAUGAAGUAAUGUUAACAUUAUGAUAAUGAUACCUUACUUAUCUCCUAGUUUUGCACUGAAAUCAUUUGUGAUAGGGAAAAUUUCAAUGUGACAUUCAUUCAAAAGAACACAAGCUGGUCAGUGCAUUGCCAGCAAAAAUUUAUGUAGUCGUUUCAUUUACGGGUAUUUACCGGUCAUUUAUAUUUAUCUAACUGUGACAGCUAGGCUGCAAGAGCCAACGGAUAUCAAAGUUUCUUUUCCUUGACAUUCCUAAUUUCCUUGGCAAUUAUUUGCUGCGCAACACUGUUUGAACAUAGGAACAAAUCGGUCAAGAAAACUUUGAAAGGUCAUAGCAGCGAACCUGGCUAGUCAUGUGAUAAAAAAAAUCGGGCAGAACGCUGGGAAGUUAUGCUUACGCCUUAUAAUUGUGAAUUAGGUUUAAUUUAGAUGAAAAUGGGAUUCACUGACCGGGCAAUGCUCACCGAUCCAUAGCAUAUGAGGCCAUCGCCGCGUUCAGUGAGCCUGUGGCCCGACACAGGGCUAGACCUUUGACCUGACCUUAAAGCGACCUUAAAGUGACCGACGUAAUUUCGUCAUUACUUUUUACGUACGCUCUCUUGAACAUUGCCGCCUAUUGCGUUUCGCUACGUGGCCCAGGAGCCGAGUUAGAAGGGAAGUGUUCAAACACCUCCCUCCCCCAGCAGGGCGUGGAAAUCCAGGACGGCCCCAGUGGGGCGCGGGUUAGAUUGGUUGUUAUUUGUUAAAAUUAUGUUUUAUUUGUUAACGUGACACCGCUUUUCGCCUUGAGAUAGAUGAUAAUGGAUGAUAUGCUACCAAGACGUUCGAUCACGAUGAAAUACGAAUGCUGUAUAAUAAAUACUUGUGCCGGUGAUAAAACAGAA